GUGCCAGCCGCCGCGGUAAUACGGAGGGUGCAAGCGUUGUCCGGAAUCACUGGGUGUAAAGGGUGUGCAGGCGGGGCAACAAGUCGGAGGUGAAAGCCCAUGGCUCAACCAUGGAAGUGCCUUCGAAACUGUUGCUCUUGAGUCCCGGAGAGGUUGUCGGAAUUCGUGGUGUAGCGGUGAAAUGCGUAGAUAUCACGAGGAACACCAGAGGCGAAAGCGGACAACUGGACGGGUACUGACGCUCAGGCACGAAAGCGUGGGGAGCAAACAGGAUUAGAUACCCUGGUAGUCC
rnacentral:rRNA from 1 species